rnacentral:lncRNA from 1 species
GACCACAUUAGGGUGAUAUCAGUGUGAUGAUACCAAUGUCUGAGGGACAACUCUUUAGUUAAUAAUAAAACAAUGUAAUCAAAAAUAGAUCAGUGGCUACUGAUAAAGAUUAAAGAUUAUCCAUGACUGACUGUAGGUGCAACGUCAGUGAUAGCACCUGAUUAACUGCCACCACACCCCUCUAAUCAGGUAGGUGCAGGAGCCGUGUGUAUAUAUAUCCACUCACUUGGGCCACUGCCCAUACAUCCGCUCUGCCACCAAACCUGGAAUACUAACAAAAACGGAUCUAGCACCACUGCUUUCAAAAUACAGUACAGACUCAAGGACCACAUCUUGGUGCAACAGACAGCUGAGGAAGAAAGUUAAGGGUCUUUAACCACACCAAAAGUUCAAAAUCAAAAUGGGCAAUGAAGUGUCAUCUCACAAGAAGAAAAGCCGAAAGGGUAAGGCUCAAAAUGGCGAUCUUAAUGGUCAUGCUGGCAAUGCCUCCUCCAAUGGCCUGACUGAAACAGUGACCACUGAGGUAACUGUUGAGACGACCACUGAGACUUCUACCUCAACAAAAACAAGUCCUGCUCCCAUAGCAGAGGCCACUAACGGUAGCCAGACUGAUGAAGAAGUUCAGGAGCAAUCCUCUGACAAAGCUGCAGCAGAACAACCCAGUGAUGCUGUACACAUCACCCAGGAAGGAGAAGAAUCAAAGUCACCUGGAGGAACUAAGACCAACUUUUUCGACAAACUUUUCCACAAAAAGAGUGACACAAAGCCUGUGGAGGUUGACGUUGAAAUCCAGUCAAAAGAAAUUACCUUACCUUACCUUGACCAGGUUGAUGCAGAAGAGGUAACCAGUGACCUCAAGUCUGAGCCUGUGGACAUAAAGGACAGUACAGAGCUUGAACUGUCAGAGAGGGAGCCUCUCCACCCCUGUCCAACCGACACAGAACAGAACCAAACGGAGGAAAAUCCAGUUAUGAACUUUUUUAAAACACUUGUGGCUCCAACCAAAACUCCCAAAGAAGCCACAGCAAGUUCUGAUGUUACAAAAGUCCAGUCACUGAAAGAAACCACAGAGACAAAAGCACCAGCAAAUGUACAGGAAGUGGAUAUAGCGAAAGGGAAGAUGGCCCCACCUCCGCCGCCAGAGCCACCAAAGUUGGAGGUCAAGAUUGAGCCAACAGUUAAGAAAGAGGAGCUACAGGAUGAAUCUAAGGAUACAGAGACAGGCACCAAACCCAAAGCUGCCAAAGAAAGCGCCUUUAGCAAAUUCUUCCGUCCAAAGGUAUUACUAGGCUGGAAGACUUCUAAGGCAGUGCCCAGUGGAACCAGUGACAAACCAGCUACAGUGACUGAUGCUUCCAAGACUGCCACCCUAGAAGCCUCUGCUAAACCAGAACCUGCCCCAGCAGUCAAAGAGGAGGAGACGAAGGCUGAAAAGAAGCCCUCAACUUUUGGAUCCAUUUUCAAACCUAAAGUAUUGCUAGACCAAGUGACCGCUAAGAUCCAGGCGGUGGCCUCAUCUAGUGGAAUUGGUCGUGCUGCAAAGUCAGCUGGACGGGCUCAAGAGCCCACAAAGGACUCCACUCCUGCUGUGGUUGCCAGCCCUGACCCCCCCCAGGGUGGUGCAAAGGCCAAAGAACCGGCCAAAGCUGCUCCGCCCAGCGCCCCUCCAGCCCCUCCAGCCCCCCCAGCCCUCCCAGCGGACAAGUCUGUGGAGAGCGCUGAGAAUGCAUCCCCAACGGUUCCCCGCAGAGAAAAAAGGAACUCCAUCCAGCUGUUCUUCAAGAACCUGGGGCAGAAGCGACCUUCUGAUGCAGGAGUACCAACGGAAGCUGCUGCACCUUCUACAGUUGAGAAGGGCAAAUAAACCUUCAUCUGCCCAUUUGUUUACUCAAUAUAAUAUAUAUAUAUAUACACACAAACACACGUUCAAUGAACUUUUGCAUUCAUACAGAGAUAUAUUUAUUAUUUAAAUUUUGAUCUGAUACCACCUUAAGAAUGCAGGUGUAGGAUUUAUUGGUUGGUUCAUAUACAGAAAGUGGAAUUUUAAUGAAAGUGGCAUAAGAUCUUUUCAUAAAUCAUGCAAAAUCAUCUUUUUGAAAAGGGCCAUGUACAAUGGAAUGGUAGGGACCCAAGAUGGAAUGGAGGAUGGAGUUUUUAAUGAUUAUUUUAGGUUUGAGGGAUUUACAGGAGGUAGUGUGUUCGUACGUUUUCUGUUUUAUGGUAUGACAUGAGAUACUGUCUGUAAAAGUUUACCAUUUUAAGAAGUUAUCUUGUUUUGACAUGCUUCAUUGUUUAACAUGGAUUUAAAUGAUUAACAUGCUGAUGUAAGAGCAGCACCCAAUAUGCAUUAAAAUUUCAAUGACAUGAACUGAUCAUUUUCUUUGACAUACAUUACUUACACAAUCUGGAUCUGGAAGUGCCUUCAAAUACAAUCUAUCACCAACAUGAUUCCUCAGUACCAUAUGCUAGAUAAUACAAAUGUUUUUAGAGAACACAUACUCAGAGUUGAUGAGGGCAUGCCAGCCAAUUAAGAUGGAAACAGAGGAUUGCACUUUAUGGUUUAAGAGUACACGUUUUGUAGGACUUUUGACAAUAGUAGACUAAUUCAGUGAGUUUCCAGAGACACAGCCAUGCCGUUUGAUAAGCCUCAAAAGCCCUUAAGCAACUCACACAUUCUGAAAACACAUGCACAUUUAGUAGUGACAUCAUGGUGAAAUAUGUUGUUUUUGUUUCUGAUUACUUGCCCAUUUUAGGAAUAGGCAUUUGGAUGUUGCAUGAAAUAUUUAGUGUAGAAAAAUGAUGAUUACAUUGUUCUUGCCAAGAAAAGCCUGUAAAAUACUGAUGUUGUAUUCAACCACCACUGUUGAUAACUAAAUAAAUUAGUACCUUCUCUCUCA